UUGAACGCUACCCAGCCUUUCCAGGAGGUACUUCUACUGUUGCCAGGGGGUAUGUGGGAAGUUUGUGGAGCAGCUCAACUAAUUUGAAA